AGAGUUUGAUCCUGGCUCANAUUGAACGCUGGCGGCAUGCCUUACACAUGCAAGUCGAACGGCAGCACGGGAGCAAUCCUGGUGGCGAGUGGCGAACGGGUGAGUAAUACAUCGGAACGUGCCCUGUCGUGGGGGAUAACUAGUCGAAAGAUUAGCUAAUACCGCAUACGACCUGAGGGUGAAAGCGGGGGACCGUAAGGCCUCACGCGAUAGGAGCGGCCGAUGUCUGAUUAGCUAGUUGGUGAGGUAAGAGCUCACCAAGGCGACGAUCAGUAGCUGGUCUGAGAGGACGAUCAGCCACACUGGGACUGAGACACGGCCCAGACUCCUACGGGAGGCAGCAGUGGGGAAUUUUGGACAAUGGGGGCAACCCUGAUCCAGCAAUGCCGCGUGUGUGAAGAAGGCCUUCGGGUUGUAAAGCACUUUUGUCCGGAAAGAAAUCCCCUGGGAUAAUACCUCGGGGGGAUGACGGUACCGGAAGAAUAAGCACCGGCUAACUACGUGCCAGCAGCCGCGGUAAUACGUAGGGUGCGAGCGUUAAUCGGAAUUACUGGGCGUAAAGCGUGCGCAGGCGGUUUUGUAAGACAGGCGUGAAAUCCCCGAGCUCAACUUGGGAAUGGCGCUUGUGACUGCAAGGCUAGAGUAUGUCAGAGGGGGGUAGAAUUCCACGUGUAGCAGUGAAAUGCGUAGAGAUGUGGAGGAAUACCGAUGGCGAAGGCAGCCCCCUGGGACGUCACUGACGCUCAUGCACGAAAGCGUGGGGAGCAAACAGGAUUAGAUACCCCGGUAGU
rnacentral:rRNA from 1 species